UGGUUCUCCCCGCUGUGAGGGGCGGCUCCGCCCGUCUGAGGGGCAGCGUGUGGCUUUGCUGGCUCUCCCCGCUGUGAGGGGCCGAGGGUCCGUUCUCCCCCGAGCACUGCUGAAUAGAAAAAAGCGGAGUUGCCGCUGUGGAGAACCGUGGGGAAACAGCGGGGACGGGGCGCCUGAGCAGCCCCCCCCUUCCCCCACGAAGCAGCCCUCAGAGGAAAUAACCAAAGAGCUCAAAACUGCACCGGUCCCCCUCCCCAGACUGCACAGCAGCACCCAGGACCACCUGAGGGCACCAAGGCAGCAGAUGCAUCUUCACAUCAGUGGAUCAGUGAGCUACAGCUUGCUCUGUUUUGCCACCAGAACAUCCUCCAGCUAGACAGCAAAGCCCAGCCUUAGGAAAACUGUGACUGUCUGUGCCAGAAUUUCUGUCUAGCUCAACUGUGAUUAAUAGACCUCGGUCUAUAAUGAACGAGUAUUGAUAUCAUAACACACUUCCUAAGGAAGGUACUUUUUCAGACUAUCCAGAAGCAAUCUACAGAUCCCUAAAAGUUAUAGGCAGGCUGAAAAUGGAGAUAGUUCUCCCAGCACUGCCAACAAAAUAACUUAUGGAGUAGUGUUUUCCCUGGAGAGCUCACAUGAGUGACAACAGAAGACAGUGUUUCCUGGAGAAUUAUCCUGGUUUAUAUUUAGCCUGGAUUGACCUGUUUCAGCGUGCAGUCAUAUGUACACCCUUCCACCUGGCCUCCUCCUCCCUGUGAGCUGCUCACAGUUACCUGGUUAAUGUGUAUUCCCUGAGUCCUGAGUGAAGAUUCAUGGCUGAGAAGGUCCCGAU